AUUGAACGCUGGCGGCAUGCUUUACACAUGCAAGUCGAACGGUAACAGGUCUUCGGAUGCUGACGAGUGGCGAACGGGUGAGUAAUACAUCGGAACGUGCCUAGUAGUGGGGGAUAACUACUCGAAAGAGUAGCUAAUACCGCAUGAGAUCUACGGAUGAAAGCAGGGGACCUUCGGGCCUUGUGCUACUAGAGCGGCUGAUGGCAGAUUAGGUAGUUGGUGGGGUAAAGGCUUACCAAGCCUGCGAUCUGUAGCUGGUCUGAGAGGACGACCAGCCACACUGGGACUGAGACACGGCCCAGACUCCUACGGGAGGCAGCAGUGGGGAAUUUCGGACAAUGGGCGAAAGCCUGAUCCAGCAAUGCCGCGUGCAGGAUGAAGGCCCUCGGGUUGUAAACUGCUUUUGUACGGAACGAAAAGCCUGGGGCUAAUAUCCCCGGGUCAUGACGGUACCGUAAGAAUAAGCACCGGCUAACUACGUG
rnacentral:rRNA from 1 species